UAAACAACCUGCCUUAAGGAUGGGGAUAACAGACGGAAACGACUGCUAAUACCGAAUACGUUCUAAGCAUCGCAUGGUGCAUAGAAGAAAGGGUGGCCUCUACAAGAAAGCUAUCGCCUUAAGAGGGGUUUGCGUCUGAUUAGCUGGUUGGAGGGGUAACGGCCCACCAAGGCGACGAUCAGUAGCCGGUCUGAGAGGAUGAACGGCCACACUGGAACUGAGACACGGUCCAG
rnacentral:rRNA from 1 species